ensembl:lncRNA
CUUUCCUUACACUUUACUUAUAGCGUUUAGGGGGGAUACCUGAAUUAAAUACAUAAAGCCUCUCGAGUACUGAGACUAAUGUCUAGCAGUUUAGACAGACGUAAUCUCCAAGACAUAGGUUGACCACUGAACAGAGUUGAAAUACAUGCCAAUUAAAAAGGGAAGUUGGAUAAAGAUAUUUAGAUUGAGAAAAUACCUUUGUCUUGUUUUCCUCCCCAAGUUCAAAACAGUGACAGUAAAGAAAAUGAAAUCUAAUGGUGAUGCAAAACCAAAGUCAGUGUUUUCUGGGGGAAUUUCUGAGAUUUGGAAACAGGAUCUGAUAUAGAAGACCAGAGGAGAACAUAGCUUUAUAGAAAUGAAGAACUACAGGGGAGCCCCAGACUGGUAGAGAAUCUCGGGCAGAUUCCUUGGGGAGGUGGCUGGAUAGUCUGGCCUGUCCCCACUUGGCCUAGGCAGCAGGCAGCAACAGCAGCUGUUCUCAGGCCAAAGCACUGAAUGUGGGCGUUGGGCCAGAGAAGACCACAAAACCAUAAAUAGCCACAGAUCCCCAAUGGGGUGGCGAGCCCUCAGGCACAGACAGCAAGCUACCAACCUCCCUCAUGUAGGCUGUGUCCCAGCCUUCUUCACGGUCAGCAGAAGCAGGCUGCCUGGGACUGAACCAGCAAAGGCACAGUAAGGAACAAAGGCGAGUAGACAGUCAAUUCCUACGAAUUUGUGGAAAGACACUCUACAAAACGACAAAUCCAGUGCCCUUUGAUUGGAGGACAUGCAAUUCCAAAAACUACCUGGGGAUCUAAAAUAUGUUCCUCAGACAGUCCUUGGCAACCAGUGAGUGUCAUAAAAAUAAGCAGAUGAGUUAAGCAGAAUGAAUUCAGACAGGAUGAAGGGAUGAGGCAGAGGGUGGGUCGGGGUCCUUUCUAGGACACAGGGCAGAGGUGGGCAGAGGCAGUGAAAGUGCUCAGCUGUGUUCAACUCUUCGUGACCCCAUGGGCUGUAGCCUGCCAGAAUCCCAUGGACGGAGGGGCCUGGUGGGCUACGGUCUGUGGGGUUGCAAAGAGUCAGACACGACUAAGCAACUAACACACACACAUACAUUCAAUGAUUCCCAAAUCUUAAUCCAUCUGAUUUAACUGUAAGCCAGAGUCACUGAAAUUAGCCAAGAUAAGUCUAUGGACCCUUCCAAAGAGUGAAGGAAAGGAGGAAGGAAGGAGUGUGCAUGUGAGAUUCCUGAAUUCAAUUUUCUCAUCACUAACAAACUGAAUAUGAAGACAGAGAAGUAACAGUGUGGCAACCUACAGAAACAAAUCGCUGAACAGCCUAACAUGCUAGAACACAUCUAAGCAAGGACAACAAAGAAAAGCAAAAUGACAAGGUAGAAGGUGUUAAUAACUCCUUGUGCAAGCCAGUGAGUGAAAGAAAAACAUACUGCUAGUUCCGGGAAUGUUUCCACAUCAGUGGAGUUAGAAGAGACUCGGGAAUUACCUCUUGUAUUCAAAUGUUCAAGCCCAAGACAGGGUGGUUAAGUGGCAAGUGAAAAUAGACAUGGCGACAACCAGGUCUCUCAGUGUGCAGCCUUCGAUUGGGUUCCUCUGAAAUACCAGAGCCUGUUCUAGGCACAGGCAUGUAUGUUGCUGCUGAAAGCCUAAUGCAAAUCCAAUUUCUGUUCUUUUGUUAAGUGAGCUAGAUUCUUACCUGGGCACUCCAAUUUUUUAAUAACUUCCCUGUUCUCUCCGUAGUGAAUUCUAUUCAGAGUUUCAGAAUUAGUAUUAAACUGUAAAGUUAUCAAACUGUGCCAUCAAUGCACAUAUAUUUACGCACACA